rnacentral:lncRNA from 1 species
GUCUUAUGCCCAUGUCUGGAACUGGAGUGGGAUCGGCCACAUUGAAAGAACACAGCCUGAGGGCAGGGAAGCUAUUGAGCCCCAGAGAGAUGUUAAAGUACUUUUCAUGAAAAGAUCAUUGUCUGUUAAGAUCCCAUCGCAGAGAAGUUAAAGAGCUUCAUUCACCAUGCUUUCAGGGUCAAUUUGUCUCCGAAAAGGAACAGAUGGGGAAGAAUUAUUCCAUUCACAGUUGACUUGUCAGAAAUUCCAAGAUCUUGGACUGGCUGAAAGCAAUGAUGUUGCCAUUCAUCCUUUCACGUAUUCAUUAUGGUCUACAGCUGAGAAGGGCUAUUUGGGGUUUGCUUUGCCUGAUGGUAGCAGAAGAAAACCAGGAGGCCUCUCUACGAAAGUUUGCAGUAAGCCACCAAUCUGGGUGAGACAAACCAAUGAUGACUGAAAAUCACAAUAAAAUUGUAAUACUCAAGAUCUCAA